GGUCGAGCGAAAGUCGAGCUACUGCUGAGUAGUAGCUAGUAUUUUCAUCAUAACUUUCUCUCCUGAUAUCCGAUUGAGAUGAUUCAAGUUGUUUUGAACAGAUAACUCAAAGGGCUACAAUUAUUCUAGAAAUAGCCUUGUCCAAAUUCCAACUGUUUCUAUGUGUAAAAUGUGUUCCAAGUGAAGACUGAAAAUCCAAAACAUAAUUUGUGCGGCUCUUUGAUAUCUUUUAGACUUCCAAUUGCAUUCCGAUGAUCUUAUGUGAUCUUCUUGGAUAUCUUGGACUCCUUUAACUACUCAAACACUAAUUUACCUCAUCUAUACAAAAUUGCACCUCAAGUCCUUGACUUUUACAAAAAUUUUCAAUUGAGUCCCUGACUUUUACAAACAUAUGAUUAAACCCAUUUUGUUCACAGAAUUGCCAAUAACACAUUUAGACCUAACAAGCUUCUCUCAAGGAAGUUGGGCUUGACUUGUCCCAUGAGCUCACCUCUUGAUAGGAUGAGUCGAAUUGCCUUGCAAGUCACUUGUGACUCAUCUUUUUUAUAGAAAAUUACAAGUUUUAACUAAAAUGUGAGCCACUCACUCAUUUGUGAGAGGCUCGUAUAAGUAAUUUAUUGUUUAGCGAGCUGUGGACUUGAUCUAGCCGAUGAGCGAUUUGCCUACUUAACACCUCUAGUUUAGGGUGAGUCAAACUUGACAUAAAAUAAUGCUGGCUAUAUUGAUUGAUUUGCGACUGAUAUUAUGUCAUAUAAAUAUAGUAUGAAC
rnacentral:lncRNA from 1 species